UGCCUUACAAUGCAAGUCGAACGGCAGCACGGACUUCGGUCUGGUGGCGAGUGGCGAACGGGUGAGUAAUACAUCGGAACGUGCCUAGUAGUGGGGGAUAACUACUCGAAAGAGUGGCUAAUACCGCAUGAGAUCUAUGGAUGAAAGCAGGGGACCUUAGGGCCUUGUGCUACUGGAGCGGCCGAUGGCAGAUUAGGUAGUUGGUGGGAUAAAAGCUUACCAAGCCGACGAUCUGUAGCUGGUCUGAGAGGACGAUCAGCCACACUGGGACUGAGACACGGCCCAGACUCCUACGGGAGGCAGCAGUGGGGAAUUUUGGACAAUGGGCGCAAGCCUGAUCCAGCAAUGCCGCGUGCAGGAUGAAGGCCUUCGGGUUGUAAACUGCUUUUGUACGGAACGAAAAGGCGCCUUCUAAUACAGGGCGCUCAUGACGGUACCGUAAGAAUAAGCACCGGCUAACUACGUGCCAGCAGCCGCGGUAAUACGUAGGGUGCGAGCGUUAAUCGGAAUUACUGGGCGUAAAGCGUGCGCAG
rnacentral:rRNA from 1 species